rnacentral:rRNA from 1 species
UACGUAGGGGGCAAGCGUUGUCCGGAAUCAUUGGGCGUAAAGCGCGUGUAGGCGGCUCGGUAAGUCCGCUCUGAAAGUCCGGGGCUCAACCCCGGGAGGCGGGUGGAUACUGUCGAGCUCGAGUCCGGAAGAGGCGAGUGGAAUUCCUGGUGUAGCGGUGAAAUGCGCAGAUAUCAGGAGGAACACCGAUGGCGAAGGCAGCGCGCUGGGACGUGACUGACGCUGAGACGCGAAAGCGUGGGGAGCAAACAGG